CGCCGGCAGUGUUGGUGGCACC
rnacentral:miRNA from 1 species